AAAAAAAAAAACAAGUACAGAACAAUGUGAAUAGAAUGUUCUCAUUUAUUUUUUUUUUUUAAAGAAACAUUCUUAUUUAUUAGAUUUGGAAUGUAUGCAUCCUGUUUUAAAUUUUAUUAGUGGUUGCUUUUAAGUUAAAAAUAUUUCAGGCUGUAUUUUUCUGAUUAUCACAUUAAGGAAUGAAAUGUCAAUUUAUGGCUUCCUCUCAUGGAAGAUAAAAGACUUGUUCCCCAUCCUCACUUCCCUCCUCUCUUUAUUGGUUUAAUCUGGUAUUAUAAACCUCGGUCUCUAGGAAGAAUUUAGGGCACCCCUCACCACCCCUCUGGCUCUAGGAACUAAAAGGAUUCCUAAAGGACCGUACCUGGGCCCUGGUGCUUGCAGUUUGUUUUUGAUGCAAUGAACAAAGGAAUUUAAAGCUCAGAGUUCUUUCCUGGGAUGUCCUUCUUGGCCCUCACAGCCUUGCCGAGCCUCUCUGCCUAUCUGCCUCUGGGGUAGUCAGAGGGGCUGGAGCUGCCUCCUGCUUGGGAGGCCUCCCUUGCUCCUUCCUCCUAGAAAGUCAAAGGGAAACCUGAGUGGGGGUGGUGGUGGUUGUGGAGGGAACAAGCUGUAGAGCUGGCCUGGAUCCUGGAAGGAAACCUUCCCGUUGCAUUUGUCUUUGUGGCUCCUUUGGAGAAGCCUCUCAGCUGGUUUUAAUCUUGGUCUCCGGCACCUACCAACGUAGGCCCCACACAGUGGCUGCACAAUGGGCUCAAGCAUAGCAACGAUCUUGGGGAUGGCGCAGGACCAGACAGUUUUUAGUUGUGUUGCACAUAGGGUUACAAUGAGUCGGAACCAACUCGAUGGCACCUAAUGACAACCACCACUACCACCACCUAGGUGAAAGGAGUUCUUGAAGCUCAUGCCUAGCUCUGCCUAUUUCACUGGGGUUUCAGGGCACAGCUCCAGCCUGAAACAGCAGGAAUUCCCUCAUGAGGUGGUACCGGGACAUGAACCCCCUAGUCUCUCUGGCAGCCUUGGAUCGAGCCAGGCAGUGCAUUUUGGACAGAAGCACUGCUUUCCUUAAUUAUAUUCUCAGUGUCAGUAGACCCUAAAUAUGUGUGUGUGGGAAUUGUUUCAGACAUAGGCUUUUCUAUGAGCUGGAGAUUUUACAUAAGUGGCAUAACAGAAACUUAUUUAAAAUCAAAACUGAUUGUAGUCAGUUCUUAAUUAAAAAAAAAUUAUCAUUGAGUUGACUCUGACUCAUGGUGACCUCAUGUGUGUCAGAGUAGAACUGUGCUGUGUGGAGUUUUCAUUGAUUGGUUUUUUAAGAUGCAGAUCGCCAGAUCUUUCUUCGGAGGCACCUCUGGGUAGGGGUGGCAUAAUUCACAUCUGUGAGAGAAAAAAAAUCAUUCCAUUCCUUUUACCGCCUGCAGAAUUGUGCAGGUGACAGUGAAAGUUCAAAACUUCUGUCCCUUGGGACCCUGCAGUGGAUGUCCAUGGGGGGCUGACUCCGGCUGUGGGUUAUUGGACGUAGGAGGCCCUGCAGUGGAUGUCCGUGGGGGGCUGCUCCGGCUGUGGGUUAUUGGGCGUAGGAGGCCCUGCAGUGGAUGUCCGUGGGGGGCUGCUCCGGCUGUGGGUUAUUGGACGUAGGAGGGCAGUCUGGAGCCAGGGAGGGAGUGGAGGGCUAAGUUACUCUAGACAAUACAGUAAGGGGGAUUUAGCCCCCCAGCCCCAAUUGUAAAGCCCCUCUGUCUUUUCAUACCUUCAGGAAAGUCUGCUCAACACCCAAAUGUUUUGAACGAGUUUGUGUGUUUGUAUUUUUUUUUUUUUUUUUGUAAAGAAUGAAAAAAGGGAACUGAGUCCCAGACCUGGCACAGCUCAGAGCAGAAGGAAGAGACCAGCCUCAGGAGGUAAGAUGUGAGUGAGAUCAAAAGUCCCACAGAGCUGGAGUCAGAGCCAAACGGGACCAUUAAGAGUAUUACCCGUUGCUGUACAGUCGAUUCCGACUCAUAAGUGACCCCAUAGGACAGGGUAGAACUACCCCAUAGAGUUUCCAAGGAGCGGCUGGUGGAUUCCAACUGCUGACCUUUUGGUUAACAGUCAAGCUCUUAACCACUGCACCACCAGGGCUCCGUUAAGAGUUUUAGCUAAUGGAAAUUUGCAGAAAUCUUGGGAAGCCCAUCGGGCUUGUGGGGGUCCAAUCAGCUAUUAAAACACGCCAAAGGAAAGGGUAGCUGCAGCUGACUUCCGAUUGUCGCAGUGCUGUGUAACUCCAGCAGAACAGGGGCUUGAUCCUGCAGAUCCUGCUCUGUGGAGGUCCAUUUGUUGGAUGCUUCAGGAACUAUCAUGAUAUUUCUCUCUUUGCCUAAUCUAAAAAACCAAACCCAUUGCCACCGAGUCGAUUCCAACUAAUAGCGAGCUUAUAGGACAGAGUAGAACUGCCCCAUAGGGCUUCCAAGGAGCAGCUGGUGGACUCAAACCGCCAGGCUUCUGGUUAGCAGCUAUAUCACUUAACCACUGCGCCACCAGGGCUCCUUCUACCCAGGAGAAGAGCCGUUUAGAAGAGCCAUUUUCAGUUCAGAUGCCAAAAAGGGAAGCAAAACUUCCAAACAAAGGGCUUUGUCAUGACCCUUCCCUCCCUUGGAUUUGCAUAGAACUUGAGGGUGCUGGUUAAAGAACCUGAGAGCUGCAGCCUCCCCAGCCCAGCAGUGGUGAGUAGGGAACAUCGUUUGGGGUGGAGGGACAGUGGGCAAAACCUUCCAUAAAGCCUUGGGACUUGACGACUGCUCUGACCAAGUACUGAAGCAAAUAUCAAGAUGAAUCAAUGAGUGCUCUAAAUCAAGAAGCUAAGGUAUUGGGGCAGCUGGGAUGGGACCAGAGUGAAUUCAGCUCAUGCCACACUGAACAAGGACUUGCUCGUUCCUUAGGGAGGAAGACAUAGGCUGAUGGAAGAACCUAUUGUAUAGUCUUACAUCUGCUGUAAUUCCAAAGGUAGAGGACAGUAGAGAUCAGCAGGUCUUGACUGCCCAGAAUGCAUUCUCCCUUCUGAGCCCUUCCAGUCACCAUUACGUGACCCGAACAAGACACCUUUGGCAUCAUCACUGACAGAUUUUUACUGAGGCCAUGGAAGCAGCAGUCAAGAAAUCAAACGACGCAUUGCAUUGGGUAAAUCUGCUACAAAGGACCUCUUUAAAGUGUUGAAAAGCAAAGAUGUCACCUUGAAAACUAAGGUGUGCCUGACCCAAGCCAUGGUAUUUUCAAUCGCAUCAUAUGCAUGAGAAAGCUGGACAAUGAAUAAGGAAGACCAAAGAAGAAUUGAUGCCUUUGAAUUGUGGUGUUGGCGAAGAACACUGAAUAUACCAUGGACUGCCAAAAGAAUGAACAACUCUGUCUUGGAAGAAGUACAACCAGAAUACUCUUUAGAAGCAAGGAUGGCAAGACUGCAUCUUACAUACUUGUGCACAUGUUGUCAGGAGGGAUCAGUCCCUGGAGAAGGACAUCAUGCUUGACAAAGUACAAGGUCAGCGGAAAAGAGGAAGACCCUCAACGAGGUGGAUUGACACAGUGGCUGCCACAAUGGGCUGAAGCAUAACAACGAUUGUAAGGAUGGCGCAGGCCCCGGCAGUGUUUCGUUCUGUUGUGCACAGGGUCGCUAUGAGUCGGAGCCAACUCGACGGCACCUAACAACAGCAUAGUUGGCCUAAUCUGUGAGGUUUUGUGCAGCUUUGUGUAAUCAUCCUAGCAAACACUAGCUAACUCUGGGUUUGGCCUAAGUGCUGUACUGAUUGUCUCAUUUAAUCCACAGAACUGGUUCUUGGAUUGGUCCUAUUGUUUUCAUUUUAUGAAAGUGGAAACUGAGGCCCAGACAGGCAGAGUAGCUUUCCCACAGCCACAGUGGGGAGGCAUGGAGCCGGUCUGACUCUGAAGCUCUGUUCUUCAGCCUACUUGGUGUGUCCCCUAAGCUGGGCAGAAGGAACUGAAAGGCAAAUAUCCCGGGAUGAGUGUGUGACCAUCCUCAGAACCAGUCUGGAAAAACCCUUUCUGAAGAGACUCCCAGGUUCUCGUGUCCCCCUGAGUCCUAGUGAGACGGAGAGAGUGUUGGGGAAACAUAAGAGUACUCUGGGGUGAGUGCAAGUAUUUCUGAGUGCUGGAGUCACUGCCUGGAUGUGAGGCCCGGGACCCUGCUGCCAUGCCCACCCUGCAGAAGGCUGUCCUCCUUCCUCCAGGGGCUGGGGGCGGGCACAUGGAGAGUUGUGUUCAUGCAAAAGCGGCCUGAGAGCACCUCAGCCUACCUCCUCCCUGGGGUUGGGGGGAUACGUUUGGGUGGGAUCCAGUCUCUUGGCAGGCACACAGCCACACCCAUCACGCACUGCACCUGAAGCUCACGCCUAGACGACAGGUCCAAGGCAGUGUGGAGCAAUACCAACAAGCUCACAUCCUACUUCUAGUUGCCAGCUCUCUCCCUUUCACCCCAUGGGCUAAAAAUUGACAAUGGAAAAGAAGAAAUCCCAAGACCUCGUGGCCCUCCAAAGAUGUGUUCUAUCUAACUUUCUUGACGAACCCAUUGGGAAUUGGUACCUCACUUACUCAAGUCUCAGCUUAGGCCAGAUUUGGGGUUAUAUUGACUAAAAGAUCACGUUGGGCCAUUUCUUUGCAUUUGUACUUAUUAAGCCCUCCAGGUGGUUCUGGGCCAGGUACUGUGAGGGUACAGAAGAAAUCCAGGACAUGGAAGGUAUGAAGGCAAUCCUUCCUUUUACAGGUGGAAACAUUACAGCCCAGAAAUGUUAAGGAACAGCCCAGGUCCCACAGCUACUUGGGGGCCGUCUUGAGUUUGGAACUUGCAGUCCCUGCCUUUCAACCUGGUGCUCUUUCGACAGCAUCCCCACUCUUGCACAACUUACUGUAUGGUUGGAGGAGUAACCCCCCUGAACCAAUUACAGAACUGUCAGAUGGGAGCAGAGUUCCCCUUGUCGGUGAUUUCCCACCCACAGUGGGUUUACUACUACUAGUGUCUUUGUGUUGUUUACCUGAAUAUGCUUAUCUGGUGGUUGUAAUGUUCUUUUGAGAUUCUGGGAAUUCCCAUAAUUGGAAGAAAAAAAAUGUCUGUGAGAUAGAAUUUCUACAUUUUUUGCCUACUUUGUGCUCCUUCAGUGUGUUUGUGUGUGGUAGGAGAUAGUCUAGCACUUUCUGUCUUCAGAAGAUUUCACAUAGGAUGAUCUGGGUUGGGAUUCUCUGUGUGCUUUGAAGGGGACAAAACGACAGACACAGAAGAGCAAGAUGAACAUGGGGAAGAGGGAACUGUGCAGAGAAGAGACAUGCAGCCAUCUUACUGACUGGGACACUGUGUGCCUGGAGGGAGAAGGGAGCUGGCUGUGGCUGUCCACAGGGGUGGGUGUCUGGGUAAAAGUAAGGAGGCUGGAAAAGGGCUUUCUUAACUCAGAAGUGUACAGGUUUUGAAGGCUGCUGACAGUGGUGUUAAUGUCAUUUAUUCAUUCACUCACUCAAACAAUUCUGGAGAACAUUCAACAGGUAAUUACUUAAAAUCACCUCUGAGCAAGGCACUGUGUCAGGCUCUAGAGAAGAUUUGUCUCAUAUCGAGGGGGGCAUCUUGCUGUUGUCCUCAGUGCCCUCUGGCUCCUGUGGCAUGCUGAGCGCUCCCGCUCGGCCUCACUGGCUCCAGAGUUGACUCCUGCAAGCGGGCUCUGGGCUGGGUAGGGGCUGGUGCCAGCCUCUCCAGCCAUGGGGUUAAAGGCUGUCAUCCACAGCUGCCUCAUCAAGAUCAGAUUGGAGGUUGUGGGGAGGGGGGCUGGGAGGAGGUGUUACAGGGCUGAGAUUGGUUUCCAAGGAAAAACACCACUGCAGCUUCUCGGAGCUUUCUAGCCCUUACUGCCUGGUGACACCCGACUUUUUGUUAGAGAAGAUGAAACCAGCAGGUCCCACUCUGCAGGACUGAACCAGAUUUGGAUCUCAUGAGAAAUCAGAAUAGAGUCUCAAAAUGGAAGUUCAGGGAACUUCACGCAGGAGGAACCAGCUGGUCCUGUCUCUGUGCUGCCUCUCCUGCUUGGUCAUGAGGUGCAGAGGGUCCAGGGCCUCCUGGGCCGCGUGGCUGGGGACAGAUCCAGCCGGGUGGGGCUGGCCGCGGUUAGGCCACAUUUCUAACUCGUGUUUCUUUGGAGCUGUGAGUCCUACAGAUUUCAUCGUGCCUGUUUUGGCCCUCCAUGAGGCAACAGCUGGUGGGGAGUGGCGGAGGUAGAGGGGCUGCAAGAGCAGCAAGCUAGCUGGUUCUCCUUUUCGGCCAUUUAGCAAUUUCCGGUGACUUUUGAGCAAGGACAGGUGUAACCCUUUUUGCCCUGAUAUGUGCAGUCUCCAACUUAUGCCUGUGGCCCCAAAGCCAUCUGAAAGUUGACCCUGGCUUAGCACAAUUAUCAACCAUUGGGGAGGCCAAGGGGGUAUUAAAUAGGCACCUGGGCUUGGCCUUCCCACUCCUCUGGCCAGCUAUUCAGCCAAUAAUUUUCGAGCACCUACUAUGUGCCGUGCACUGUGGAGGGUAUUCUGGCUCAUGUGUCCUUCCUUGUGUUGUUAGCUGCCAUCAAGUUGGUUCUGACUCAUGGCAACCUCGUGUACAACAAGACAAAACAUUGCCUGAUCCCGUGCCAUCUCCAUGAUCCUUGGUGUGCUUGAGUCCAUUGUUGUAGCCAGUGUAUAUUUUGAGUGUUUUCCAACCUAGGGGACUCAUUUUCCAGCACUGUAUCUGACGGUAUUCUGUUGUGAUCCACAGGGGUUUCGUUAGGCCUUUCUUCCUAGUCUGUCUUAGUCUGGGAACUCUGUUGAAACCUGUCCACCAUGGGUGAUCCUGCUGGUAUUUGAAGUACUGGUGGCAUAGCUUCCAUCACAGCAACACACAAACCACCACAGUAUAACACACUGACGGGCAGCUGAUGGGUCUCUUCAUGCUCCACACCUUUCCUUUUUAAAAUUUCAGCAACAAAGACAUAGGCCCCAGGGAGAAAACCAUGGACUUGGCCUCUAUCUAUACACGAGUAGAACUGCUGGCAAAUUCAAAUGUACCUGCUACAAACUGACCUUUCCUCAAGUAAUUUUGGGUGCUUUCCAAACUUACCAACCCCCUAAAGGGUGUGGGAGGAGGCAGGGAAAGCUUCCCAGAUAGAGGAACAGAGGGCAGGAGCCCUGUGGUGAAAGGGAGCCGGGCCCCUUCAAAACCCAAGGGAAGGCCACAUGGCCAGGCAUGGCCAGGAAGGAAAGGUGGGUGUAGUGCAGUCUCGGGGGUUGGCUCUUGCUGAGCAAGUGGGGCCCCUCUAUGAGCCCCAUCACAGUUUCCCCACUUCAUGUGGGACAUCCCUUUCCAUCCUCAGAUCUCGGUGCAGGCAUGGCCUCCUCAGGAAAAGCCUUCUCUGAGCACCUCCAUACAGUCAAAACCAGUUGCCAUGGAGCUGAUUCUGACUCAUGGAGACCCUUUGUGACUCAUGGAGAAUUGUGCUCCAUAGGGUUUUCAAGGGCUGAUUUUCUGGAAACAGAUCGCCAGUCCUUUCUUCUGAGGUGCCUCUAGAACCCUCAACCUUUCAGUUAACAGGCGAGUGCUUAACUGCUUGCACCACCCAGGGACACUGCUUACUGUCAAGCCCUCCAUUAAAUACCCUCCUCCACUUCCCCUCCAGGUCUUCGGUGGGAGCUGUGCCCUUCGAGAGCCAGGGCUGGGGCCUUUUCAGCUCCAUCAGAGUCCUUGCAGCCCCUGACUGGGGUUGAUCCUCCUUCCUCUUGCCUGAUGAUCAGGCCUUAGCAUGGAACUGUCCCCAGAAGGGCAUUACCUGGGGGCUGCAGGCAUAUGACCAGGGCCUGAUCUGUGCCGGGAGGACCAGCCCUGCCCCCAGGAGCUCUCUUGUCUGGGGACUGUCAGACACAGGGCUGCAGGCAGCUGAUAGCCAUGUGAUGGGAAUAAGAACAUGCCAGCCCAGAACCCGAUAUCCUGGGACCAGCCAGCUUCAUGGCUCCGUGCGCCCUCAGCACAGGGACACUUCAGCCACCCAACACUGUCCUUACCCAGAACUGCUCCCUCUCUGCACUAAGACUCCUCAGACCCCCCACUCUCUGACUCAGCCAUCUCUCUGUCCAGGGUUCUAUUCUACAACUCACACCACCCCUAUCCUUCACCACUCCAGGGCUUCCUCCAGCACCCACUGUGUGCCAGCUGCUUCACCUCCUAUUCCUGAACCCAUUUUCCCUAUCACCAACCCACUCUCUUCCCUAAAUCUUCCACCCCUCAUCCCCAUUGUCCUCCCUGCCCCUGAUCUAGCAAGGACACCCGAAGUCUGGGUUUGACCAACCUCAUGCUGUCCUCAUCUCCCCAGUGUGGAUUGGAACUACCAAAACCAAGGCCUCCUAUCCCAAGUGAACCCCAAGCAGCUAGCAUUUCUAUUCCUGCUCUCUUCAGAGUUGUUCCAUGUCUCCCCACAUCCCCUACCCCAGACCCUCCCAUCACACUUCCAGCAGACUACCCUGACCCCCACUUCACUGAGAGGUCUCUGCUCAGGUCACCCUGCAGAGGGGAGCAGCGCUGCUGACAGGGGAGCCAGAGUCUGGCUGCUUCCACCCAGUGUGGGACCCCCUCAGGGCCACCUCUGCCUUGGAGCUCCACUGGGCCAUCCAGGCUUCCUCACAGCUGCCCACAGUCCGAAGCUCUUCUGUCCUGAUCCUCUUGCCUGCAUCUCAGCCUGAAGGCUUUCCCUGCCCACUCCUGCCCCCUCUUCCUUAUAUCUUUCACAACAGAGUUACCCCAAUAAAUCUCUUGCGUUUCUGACUGCAUUUUGGCCUCUUCUUAGAGAACCUGAGCUGACAACUCACUUCCUGCCUUGGCUUCGCUCUUGUGUUCUUCCUGCACGUGUCCGUGAAAGACAGCUAUCUGCCUGCCCAAGGCUAACCCUUCCAGCUGUGCUGUGGACCCUUACUUCUCUCUCCCGUUAGCCCAUCUCCUGACCCCUUUCUCCUUCCCUUUGCUGCUGUUCCUUCCAUCCACUGCCCUGCUUUUUCCUCGCCUGCCACUGAAUUCCUGGGUACUUUCCAACCUUUGCCGGGCUUGACUGUGCUAAGCACCAUCUCCUUCUUGAACCAGUCUCCUGUCUUGUCUUCUGGAACCCCCUUCUCCCGUCUUCCUCCUUCCUCUGUCACUGCUUCUUCUCUGUCUCCUCAUCCACUGCUGGCUCCUUAAAUGCUGGUGCUCCUUGGGGUGUGUGUCUUAGCCCUCUUCUCAGUAAACUCCCUCCCUCCAUGGGGGAGAUGGUUCCCAAAUGCUGAUAUGCUGACAACUCCCAAAUUCCAUCUCCCAAGCCCAAUCAGAAUUUUUUCCUGAGAUUCAGAUUUCAAUAUCCAGCUGGCCAGAGGACUCUUCCACUUGUAUGUUUCAUGUCUACGUCAAACCCAGUAAGUGGUAAGAUGAACUCGUAGUCACCCUGCAAAUCUGCUCUUCUGGGAUCUCUGCCCCAGAGAGUGCCACCACCAUCCGCCAAGUCCCCCAGACCAGAGACCAGGGCAACCUCUUCAGUCCUUCCAGGUGGUCACCAGGUACUACCAGCUCUACCCCCUAAACUCUCUUCCCAUCUGUCUGCUCCUCCCCAUUGCCACUGCCAUGGUCUUGGUUCAGGCUUUCAGCAUUUCUUAGCUGAACUGUGGAUUCCAUCUCUUAACCCAGUUCUUGAUUUUCAUCUGUCUUGGUUAUCUAGUGCUGCUAUAACAGAAAUACCACAAGUGGAUGGCUUUAACAAAGAGAAGUUUAUCCUUUCACAGUCCAGUAGGCUAGAAGUCUGAAUUCAGGGUGCUGGCUCCAGGGUAGGCCUUCUCUCUCUGUUGGCUCUGGGGGAAGGUCCUUGUGAUGCAUCAGUCUUCCUUUGGUCUGGGAGCAUUUCAGCGCAGGAAUCUCAGGUCCAAAGGGCAGGCUCUGCUCCCAGCACUGCUUUCUUGGUGGUAUAUGACAUCCCCAUGUCUCUCUGCUUGCUUCUCUCUUUUCUCAAAAGAAAUUGGCUUAAGACACUACCUGAUCUUGUAGACCUCAUCAACAUAACUGCCACUAAUCCAUCUUAUUACGUCAUAGUGAUGGGAUUUACAACACAGAGAAAUCACAUCAGAUGAUAAAAUGGUAGACAAUCAUACAAAGGAAUCAUGACCCAGCCAAGUUGACAGAUAUUUUGGGGGGACACAAUUCAAUCCAUGACAUCAUCUUAUUUUUCUCCAUUACAUUCCUCAAAUUGCCAUUUCUGAAAAGCCUGUAACUCUGUGCCAAGAAGCCUUCCAUUGCACCCCAUCACCUUCACCAUCAUCAGCAUCACCAUUUAUCUUGCUUUCUCCAUGUGCUGAUAAAAACACCUCUGGAUCUGACCCUGCCUUCCUCUACAGGCUCCUCUUUGGCCUCAGAGCAUUGGCCAGACAGAAUCACAGGUAGUUCUCCAAACGUCCUGCACGGUCAUGCCUCAGGGCCUUUGCAAUGCCUCUCUCUGCCUGGACCACUCUCCCCCAUUCCCCACCAAGCUAACUCCUACCCAGGGGGUCGCCAUCCCCAGCAGCCUGAGUAAGGUGCUCUUUCUCUGCCCUUCCCAGCACCCUCCACCUAUCCCUGUCUACCAGGGGGCUUAUUGUCUUGUUUCUGUUUCCCCCACCAGACUCAGAAGUUCUGAGAGCCUGGCCCAUUUUUGCAUCACCAGCACCUAGUGCAGAAUCUGGCACAUAGUCAGCACUGAAUAAAUAUUAUUCAUGAAUGAACAAAUGAAUGGCUUCUGCUGGGGAAGGGUGUGCUUGCUGGGGAGACAAUAUUUGAGGAGAGUCCAAAAGAAAGACUAAGAAUUUAUGAAGCCGGGGCCCAAAUGGAGAAGAGGAUUCAGGGCCAGGGACUGGCAGGUGCAGGGACUGGUAGGUGCAAGGUGUGGAGGUUGGGAGAGCAGGUGUGUUCAGGGAACUGCAGGGAGUUCUGUAGCUGAAGCAGAGGGUGAGUGUGAGGAUGUGCCAAAGGUGAAUCUGGAGAGACAGGUCAAAGGACAGGGGAGAGCACCUGCUGGGAGCCUGACUCUGCCCAGUACAGAACGGGGCAGGAUGUAAUGAGUGCUUUUGACGCCAUGAGGAAGGUAGGACAGGAGCGAGCAGUGUCCAGCAGAGGGGAGCCUAGGGAGGAAGUGAUGAGCGGUCCAGGUGAGGGGUGAUAGGGGUAUGAUCCAGGGCAGGACAGAGGACAGACAGCAGGUGUUUAGGUGGCAGUGACUGGUGCCUGAGGAGGUGCAGGGGCUGUGGGGGAAGAGCAGGUGACGGUGAUGCUGUGGUUUCUGGAUGGGGUUCCUGGGUGGUAGUGGAGUUUUCACCAAGAUGCCAGCCCUGGGGAGGAGCAGGUUUGAGGGGAAGAAAAUGAGUUCUGUUUGUUUAUAAGGUCACACCUGGAAAAUGUACAUUGCAAGUGGCCAUCAGGUUUUUGAAGACCUUUUUUGAGGAACUCACUCAAGGUGAAGCUGGGUGGGUGGGUGGAGGCAGAGCCAGUGGCAUGCUGGAGUCAGGUCAUGUCAGCACCCAAGAGCUGGUUGUUCUAUUUUCAAAAUCUUGUGAAGCAGUGGUUAAAUCUAACUAGUAUUAAAAGCUACCAGCUGCUUCACAGAAGAAAGACGUGGCAGUCUGCUUCUAUAAAAAGUCUGCUUCCUUGGAAACCAUGUGGGGCAGUUUUACUCUGUCCUAUAGGGUUGCUAUGAGUCGAAAUCAACUCGAUGGCAAUGGGAGAAUUUUAAAAAUAUUAUUUUAAAAACAAAGGUAGUAAGUACUCAAAACUUAUCAUUUCCUAAUUAUUUUACUACAUUUUUCUAUCAUUUGUGCUUUUUCAGUUAGUUACAUCUAUUGUGUCUACGGAAAUACUAUAUAAUAUUGUGUUACUGUGUUUUUCUUCCCAACUCCACAUUCAGUAGCAUCACCUUGGUGGCUUGAAAUCAGUCAUGGUGGGAAUAUUUACACCAUGGAAAUUGGCAAACACUGCAAACCAGGGCUUGAUUUAUUGUUUUGUUAACUGUCUAGCCAUAAGAAAGUUAUGAAGAAAAUGUUUAUAAUGUACAUUAAACUUAAAUGUAUAUUGUGUCUGUAGGCAUUACAACGUGAAUAGCACUGAAAAUUUAAGUAGAUAUUCUUCCAGUAUUAAAAAAUUGUUAUCUGAUUUAGCAAAGAAAUUGCUAAUGCGGUUGGCCAAUAAGUGAAGUUCCAACAUAUGUCUUCAUUGUUUUGGUUUUUUCUAACUAACUGAUACAAACAAAAAUAUCAACCAACAGUCAUGCAGGAACUUUACUGGUUUGUCAGUUGCAACUAUAGGUUGGCUAUGGACUCAGGAGUUUGGCAAAAAUCAAUGAGACAUUCUAUAAGACUCUUGUAUAUGUGCACUUUACAAUAAAGAGUACUAUCGUCAACAGAAGAGUGGAUAAACAAAAUGUGGUACAUACAUACAAUGGAAUAUCACUCUGCCAUGAAGAGAAAUGAUGUUCUGAUACAUGCUACAACAAUGAAUCUUGAAAACAUUAAGCUGAGUGAAAUUAAAAAAAAAAAAAAACCCAAACCCGUUGCCAUCAAUUCGAUUCCAACUCAUAGCAAUCCUAUAGGACAGAGUUGGACUGCCCCAUAGGGUUUCCAAGGAGUGGCUCGUGGAUUUGAACUGCUGACCUUUUGGUUAGCAGCAGAGCUCUUAACCACUGUGCCACCAGGCCUCCAAGUGAAGUAAGUCAGUCACAAAAGGACAAAUAUUGUACGAUCCCACUUAAAUGAAAUAUUUAGAAAGGGGAAAAGUGUAGAGACCAAAAUCUUUUAGUGGUUACCAAGGGCAGGUGGGAAGGGAAAAGGAGAGCCAUUACUUAAAGGGCAUUUUUUGUUAAUGGUGACAGAAAAAAUUGGAAAUAGAUAGUGGUGACGGUUGCAACACGAUGAAUGUAAUUAAUGCCACUGAAUUGUCCACCUAAAAAAUGUUGAAAUGGCAAAUGUUUUGUUAUAUGUAUUUUUACCACAAUAAAAAAGUACUGUAUAUUUUAUUAUUUUGUAAAUUGUCAAACAUCCUUUAUGUCAAUAAAAAUUGCUCUAAAAAUUGUGUGUGCGUUUGCAUGUGUAUGCACGCACAUGUACACCCACACAUUUUCCUCAGAGAACCUGUCGCUGACAUUUACCGGCACACGAGAGGGCAGCUUGCCAUAGGCUGAUGAGUAGUCAGGAGCCUUGGUGGUGCAGUGGUUAAGCAUUUGGCUGUGCACCAAAAGGUUGGCAGUUCCCAUCCUCCAGCUGCUCCUUGGAAACCCUUUGGGACAGUUCAGGUCUCUCCUACAGGGUCGCUAUGAGUCAGAAUCUACUCGACAGCAAUGGGUUCAUUUUUUUUAAUGGCUAAUGAAUAGGAUCCUUGGUGGCACAGCAUUGCUGUGGAAGUUAAGCUCUUGGCUGCUAACCAAAAGGUCAGCGGUUCAAACCUACCCCAGCUGCUCCAUGGGAAAAAGACGUGGCAGUCUGCUUCUGUAAGGAUUUACAGCCUUGGAAACCAUAUGGGGCAGUUCUACUUUGUCCUAUAGGAUCACUGUGAGUCGACUCGAUGGCAAACGGUUUUUUUUAAAUGCCUAAUGAGGAGCUCUGGUGGCGCAAUGGUUAAGCGCUCAGCUGCUAACCUAAAGGUUGGUGGUUUGAACCCAUCGGCGGCUCCUCAGGAGAAAAGACCUGAUGAUCUGCUCCCAUAAAAACUACAGCAUAGGAAACCCUAUAGGGCAAUUCUAGUUUGUCACAUGAGGUGGUUGUGGGUCAGAAUCGACUUGAUGGCAUGCAACAAUAAUAACAACAACAACGGCUGUUGAUGAUGGGCGUCUUUAAAUGUGCUUGUUGGUCAUUUGAGUAUCCUCUUUGGUGAACUGUCCAAGUCCUUUGCCCAUUUUUUGACUGGAUUGUUUGUCUUUUUGUUGUUAACCUGGUAAUUCAAUCUUAAUGUAUUUCACUAAGGUAAAAUACACGACAAACUGGAAAUUUAAAAAAACUGGUCGCUCCCUUUAGUUAAUCUGAGAAGCGCUGUGCUAUCCCAUUGAUCUGAUCACGUCGCUUCCCCUGCUUGGAAUCCUUGGUGAGUCCCACUGACUACACAGAGGUUUUCAAAUGGUGAGUUGAGAUCAGUCCGUGGUUGGGAGGAUAAUUUAGUGUGUUUGUCACCAGCAUUAUAAAAAGAAGAAGGAAAAGAAGUGGAGUCAAGUAGAAAAUAUCAGAGUGUAUUGCACAUAUAAAUACAUUUUGUUUCAAUUACAUAUGUGUGUGCAUAACCUAUUUUCAUAUAUUUCAAUGCAUAUAUGUAGUGGAUUGUGAUGGAAAGUGUCAUUCUUUCUGUUACCACAAUAAGAAAAAAAGAGUCUGAAUGCCGCUGGUCUGUGGAAUCAAGACCAUGCUGCCAGGCCGGAUGUUCAAAGCUGCAGAGGCAGGAGCCAUUGCUGCGGCAGAUUGGGCAGCCUUCAUGGGAAAGAGUGAAUGUGAGCUGGCUUUGGAGGAUGACUAGGCUAUCAGGGAGCAGGGAGAACAACAUGAGCAAAGGCCCAGAAACACCACGGCUUUCAUGCCUAGGUGUUCGCACUCAAGAGAGGGCCCAGGCCCUGGCCUCUGGGAGCUUGCUGUAGCUCAAGGAACACGGGCCUGUGUGAUGGGAACUCAGAGGAGGGAGCCCUUAGAUCUGUGAGAAAAAUCAAGGGAGACUUCCUGGAGGUGGCAAUGCCAUAACUGACUUCUAAGGAAAGGGUUGUGGAUUUCCAGGGAACCAGGGGUGUGGGGAGGGCUUGGCUGGCUGAGUAAGUGGCUUGUGAAAAGACACGAGAAAGCCCGUUAUGUUUGGGGAACUUUAAGCCAUUUAGUGCAGGUGGAGCGUGAAGUCUGACGCAAGGAGGGUCUUCACAUGCCAUGCUGAGAGUCAGGAUUUUAUUUUGUGAUGAGGAGUUAUGGCAGAAUUUUGAAUAGAAUGACACGAUCAGAUUUACACCUUCUUUGAAAGGUGACUCCGAUCAGAUUUACACUUUCUUUGAAAGGUGACUCCAGCAGCCCAAGAAGAGCGGAUUAACAGGGAGGGAACAGGAGGCAGGGAGACCUGUAGGGUGACUUGGUGAUGGAUGGCUAGGACAGGCAGCCAGAGAAGGGAGGCGGUGAGGAUGACGCCUGUGUUCCUGACUCUGGAAACGUCUGGCUGGUGGGGCCAGUUGUGGAGAUAAAGAACGCACAAGGCAGAGAAGGUCGGAGGGAAAACGUGUUUAAUGUUGAAAGUGCCACUUCUAGGCAGACAUGUCAGGUGGAGCAGAGGAGGGUACCAGACCAGGGGUACAGGCCUGGGUGUCACUGGCUUGGAGAGAGUGUGUGGAAUAGAGGGAAAGGGCUGUAGGUGAAAUUUAGGGAGCAGUUUCUAGGAGUGUCCAGGAAGAGAGGAGCCCAUGAAAGAUGGAGGGGAGUAGCCUCAGAGACGGAAGAUCCAGGACCUUGGAUCACAGAAACCAACGGAGCGGAGAGACCUAGGAGGAAAGGCACCAGUGCAAAUGCUACGGGCAGUCACAUUCCCUGAAGGCUGAUGAGGGGCCACAGGAGGCUGUCACCAGGACGACACAGCAGUGGGUGGUGGGGACAGAAACCAGGGACUUUAGGAGUCAGUGGAGGUGACACAGGAGUCCCUGGGUGGUACAAAAGGUUAAACACUUGGCUGCUAACCAAAAGGUUGGCAGUUCAAGUCCACCCGGAGGCACUUUGGAAGAAAGGCCUGGCAAUCUACUUCUGAAAAAUCAGCCAUUGAAAACCCUAUGAAGCACAGUUCUACUUGACACAUAUGGGGUUAUCAUGAGUUGGAGUAGAUACAAUAGCAACUGAUACGGUUUGGGGGUGACGCAGUGAAGCAGAGUAAGCAGGGCUACAUCUAGAGCAUAUGGCACCCUUGUGUGCAGUAGAAAGGGUGCGCCUUGUGUGCAUCUCCUCCAGGCAGAUGGAGCCCUUAUCCCAGCAUGGUGGCUUGGUGAGAGGAGGGCAGGCUGAACCUCAGCCUUGAUGUGCCAGCAGUGGCACUUCUUUGUGCCGUGAACAGCCUGCACAGCUGAACACCAUGCCCUGAGAGUGUGGGCCAUCAUUUCUAGAAACUGGGAGGGAAGGAAAAAAGUCAUCCACCAAAGAGGAUGCAGGAUCAUGUGAGGAUUUUCUCUAUUAAGAUGGGAGAGACUCGUGCCUACGGAUCCUGAUGAGGGAAAGGAGAGAGAGAGUUUGGAGAUUCAGAAAACAGAGAUGAUACAGGGUGAGGAGGUCUACAACAAGGAGCUGGUAGGAGCCCCGGCAGGAGGGGCACACUUUGUCUGGGGUGCAGGGGGCAGGGCAAGGCUGAGGGACAGCAGGACUGUCUGUGAGCCCAGAGCCUGGGGUGGAGGGCCAGUGCUGCAGGAAGAAUUAGCCCAGAAUCUUUGCCACAGGCAUGAGAAAGGAUGCUGAGAAGGGACACCAAGGCACAGCUGUUUCUGCUGAUGACCAGCAGUUCCAGUGCCCAGGCUGGGUGACACACAGACUAUCCAAGGAGAGGGCGAGGAAUGGGUGGGCCAGAGUGGGAAGGUUUUGACCCAGAGCCUUGGUUUACUAUUUUACUUUUUACUACAGAAAAAUUUCAAACACACCCAAAAAUAGUGAGAAACUAAAAUGAACCCCUUGAUACCUGUCAUUUAACUUCGAUUAAUUUUGCCAGUCUCAUUUUAUGUAUUCCCUUGCCUACUUUUUGUACCUUAAAAAAAAUUCUUUUUUUUUUUUCUAUUUGGAAAUAACUUCAACCUUACAGAAACCUACAAAAACAAGAUUCUUUAUUUUUAAAUAACUUGUCGCUUAUUGUAGAAUAUAUUCUCAGAAUGUUUAUAGAAGAAAAUGUCAUUCAUGAUUCCACCACUGUUAUCGUGUUAGUAUAUUCACUUCCAGUCUUUUUUCUGUGCUUAUAUACAUUACGUACACACGCAUACACAAUUUUUGUAUACAUAUUUUAAAUUGGACUACUCUAUCCAGAGACUAACCCCAUCUCCCAAAGCCUUCCUGCCUGGCGUGUCCCAGGCCCUCACCUCUCAAUUCCCUCCACAGGUUGUUUUGCUGUGAGCAGACAAAAAUUAUCCCCAGUUUUUGGCUUGUGGAGCCCUCAUUCCGUGGUUUCCAUGCUGAUGCAGGUUUCCCUUUAUCGUUUAUUUCUGUUUUUCCUGGGUGAUAUCGGUUGACUUCUGGUGGAGGAGUUGCACGAUGCUCCUGUGCUGCCAUUUUGCCGGGAAGUCUCUGACUGCACCUCGUACACCUCCACACACUCAUCUUUCUGGAUUCUGGGCAUCCGUGUUUGGGUCUGUCUCCCUCAUUCCUCUGUGAACUCUGUGAGGUAGAGCUCAUGUGAGGUAGGGCUGAUUCAUCUUUCCAUGUGAGGCCGAAUUGACCCAACAAGUAUGUAUGGAAUUGCACCAGCCUACUGAUUUGGCACCACCUCUCCCAUCUGUGCUGCAGACUCUCUGGGUGCCUUACUUGAAUUAUAGCAACCAGCAUGUUGUCUAGCACAUAGUAGGUGCUCAAUAAAUGCUUGUUAAUGUCGUUACCAGUUACUCGGAGCUUUCUGUACACGUUAAGGCUCCACUCUUUCCAUACACAAUAAGGCUCCACUCUUUCCCCUUCUUCCUUUUCCUCGUUUCUCCACUUCAUCCUUAUGGUACAAAAGAGAGACCCCAGAGACAUGCCAGAGGGAAGUUUCCUCACUGCCCCUCCUCCUGCUUGUCUAAGUUAGGAGCACAGCUAAGUUGGGGAUUGAUUCAAAAGAAGCAGUUCCCUGGGUUGAGGCUAUUUUAUAUGUUUUCAUUGCUCACAAUACAAGUUAUCAUUACCAGCAAUUAAAACUAUUUUAGGAUCAGUUCAAAGCUGCGUUUGAGGUAUUUUAAGUUGGAUAAAAGUCCUCCAUGUGUCUUGCUCGAAGCCAAGUUUUCCAGUAUCAUUAAACCCACUUGCAUUUGGAGGUUACCCAACCUGUAUAUUUUGAUUGCCUGAACAUUUCAUACAUUGCAGGGGUGUUUGUUAAAAGUGGUUUAAUGUCCCCAAAGGUGUUUGGACCUGUCUUACAAAUACCACUCCCAACCUCAAUUAAGUGGAGGCAACAGUGAAGACAGGAGUGGAGGAGAGGGAUCUGCAUAGGGUCUUUCCCUAAAAGCCAGUCCCUCUGGCCAGGAGGAGCUUCCAUGACCCCAAGGGAGGAUAGCAAUGAUCGGGGCAAGAAGGGGUGAGGGCUUGGUAUAGGAUGGAGACACCAGGAAUUGGGAAGAAGGCAGGAACCCAAUUUGGAUGGCUGGGCUGUGAGGAGGGGACUGUGAAGGCCUUCUGGAUGCCUUAAGUAAUCUUCAUAUUUGAUUGAAAGAUAAAAACAGGGGAAGAACUGGUUUUGGCAAACUGGACUUCUAGAGAUUUAGUCAGCAGCUUGCUGUGACCAAGUCUUCGUUGGUUCAGGACAUGACCCUGAAGUGCUCUCAGUGGCAUUGGGGCAUGGGGACCACUGUUCCCCAGACACCUCCAGGGCCCUCCUGGGCCGCGACGUGCAUGAAGCAUUGCUGUUGGGCUGAGCUUGGCGGGAUUCCCUAGGAAGUCUUCUUAAGUUGGAGGGUGGGAGGGCAGUCCAAGUGGGAAGAAGAGGUUUUGGAGUGGUGGAGAGCUGGGAAAGAGCCCUGCAGGCAGGAAUGUUCUGUCCCUCAGCAGCAAUACUGGCCUGUUCAAUGAGGGCUGGGGCAGGGACACUCAUCUUGAGAGGGUCUGAAAGGGGCCAAGAAGGGGACCAGACAGGGGCAAGCUGUCCUGCCCAAGGGAGUGCUUUGGCCAGGACUGGAUGUUUGUCUUGGGUGAGUCCUGCUCAUAACAGUAGCAUUGGUGGUCUGAGGGCUUAUGGUUUGGGGACAAGGAACUGCUCGCUAGUGCCUCAGGCGUCUCAACACACCUUGCUUUGGUCAGACCCCACCCAGACCCCUUGGGCUCUGAUCUGAAUUCCUAACUGGAUUUUUGUGCUCACCUCUUUGCCCCUUCUUCCAACUUGAAGUCCUGAUGCCAUAAACCUAUUGAAGCAGAACACUGGAAGCAGAAUGCAGGCUGUGCUCCAAGGAGCUGUGCCACCAACCCCUUCCAUAAACCCUCACACCAACCUGGGGACAGGGACCUCAGGAUGGUGUGUGCAGGCACAGGGCAGGCAAAUACGGGAAUGUGCUGUUGGUGACGAAUGCCCAGGGAUGGGACAAAUGGAGGGCAUCCAUGUCCUUGGCCCCGUGGGGUGGAAGAGAAUGGAAGGUAGGAUGACACACUUCAAAACUGGCUCCUUUCAAAGCAGUAUGGCUGUGACUGGGGGCUGCUUUAAAUGGGUCAGCCUUCACAUGUGCCUGGGUCUUAAACUCGUCAAAACUUGGCUGUUAAACAUUUCUGUCAUAUUUGCAUUAGCUUGUAAGCCAUGACAAUGGGGUACCUGCCUAGUUUUCUGAACCAGCAAGUGCACCCAGAGGCUAAUAAGCAGGUGUCUCCAAUAAAUGUGAUUUGAAUACUCAAGGUAAAUGUGUGCUCAGGUCAACAUGUGAAAUGAAAACCAAAACCAAACAAAACCCACUGCCGUAGAGUCAAUUCCGAUUCACAGCAACCCUACAUGUAGCACAGGGUAGAAAUGUCCCAUAAGGUUUCCAAGGCUGUAAUCUUUAGAGAAGCAGACUGCCACAUUUUUCUCCCAUGGAGCAGCUGGUGGAUUUGAACCACUGACUUUUCAGUUAGCAGCCAAGUGCUUAACCACUGACCCACCAGGGCUCCUAUGUGAAACAAAUGGCAGGGGUGCCAAAUUCUACAUGUAAGUCACACCAGUCCGGAGCCGUUGGAACUGAGAACGGUAGUGCAGUUGUAUGUGCUUGGGGUGUGCUUUACGUGUGCAGGGUAUGUGUGCAGUGUGUGGGGAGCAUGUUUUUGUGGGGAGUGUAUGUAUGUGUGGUAUGAGGUAAGGAGUGUGAGUGUAUAUGUGACAGUAUGUGUGAUGUGCGUGAGUGUGUAUGUGUAAUUUGUGUGUAUAACUGUGUGUGAAUGUGUGAGUUUCAAGAGAAGUCUCCUCCAGAUUUGUUAGAGACAAAACUAGCUAUAUUAUUUGCAGCACUCAGUGCAAAAUAAAAAUGUGGGGGGCAUGUUGUUAAAAAAUUAUUAAGAAUUCAAGACAGCAACAGCAGAGCAUCAAGCCAAGCUUGAAGCCCUUCUGAGGAUGAGGCCCUGUACUUUUCCUCCCCUCGACCUUCCUAUGCUGCCUUUAAAGGGCCUUGAAUUCCCCUGUGUUUUCUUUCCAUCCAGCUCCCCAGGGUAACCUUGACCCCAGGAAUGUAGGGAGAUGCUGGAGCACUCUGGAGAGGAGCCAGAAGUGCAGCGGGGAUAGAUCCCUUAGCUGUGGCCUGGGCCUUGCAGGACUGGUCUCAACCUUUCUUAACCCUCCCGUGUUUUGGUCUGGGCCUCCUUGGGGGCACCAAGGUCCACAAAGUAUCUCUCGGCUCUCAACUCAAAAGCCAUCUCCUUAGAAUAUCCAUGUGCCCUCACAGUCCGCCCUGUACCCUGCAUGAUGGCCCUGCCCUCUGCUUCUAGCUUCAGGCUUCUCCCCGAGCCCCCACUGUGCUCCUCCGAAGUCGCCAGUCAGCAGAGAGUCUACAGAGCAUGCACCUCCCAAAGCUGGUGUGCCCUCACAGCUCACCAAGGGCUUCAGUUUUCAGGGGCCUCGAUGGGGUCCUACCUGGACCUGUGCUGAUUUGUACGACUAUCCCUGGGAGGAGAAGCAGCAAAGAGGGACCAGGGAGCCAGGCAGGACUGGGCGGACAGAACUCACGGCCCAGAAAUCUCUGUGAGGGGGUGUAGAGGGUGGGGUUUCCUUGAGCCCUUCCUGCUUAGUGUCCUGGUUUUCCUCCUCUUGGUUAUGUGUGGUGUGCCUGCUUCAGAUCACACUCAGGGCAUGCUAAUGGGUCAUAAUGAGGGUGUUCCCAUCCCAAUACCUACACUUGUCAAUAAUUAGCAGUGACUUCCUAGGUUCUGGAAGGAGGCAGAGAGCCAGGCCUGCUCCAGCUGGUUUAGCUCAGUGCCCCAUUAACAUAGCAAUUUCAACGUCCCUUAGUGGUGCUUGGGAGUUCCAGGUCUGGCAUCUUCCAAGGGUUGAGGGAACUCAAGAACUUACCUUCACCAUGCCCCUGAUCCUAGCCAGAGACCCGCUCCUACACUCCGUCAAAGGCUAGCUUCUGAUCCCUUCCAUCUGCCACAGCAACCAAGUGACCGCUGUAUGCUUCUGUCAAGGGGAUCCCAGUUGGGACUAUGUGGACAGACACAUCCUGGAGGGCCACCCCGAACAAGGCCACCUGCCUAAGUCAAAGUAAAAAUUGUAGAGGAAGGCAGGGGCAAAGUGGGCUUGGGCUCCUUAUGUAGAGAGGUGAUUUGGCUCAAGUGGUUGGGAGGGGUGGAAGUUGCUUUGAACUUAUUGGUCACCAGUCAUGGGACUUUGCCUGUUCCAGAGAGAUGGUGAUCAAGGCCCCCAUGCAGGAGUGUGCUGAUAAACUGGCUUUCCAGGGAAAUGAAAAAGGUCCUGGUUUAGCAUCUGCCAAUUUCGGUGGUGUAAAUAUCCUACCAUAUCCCAUCAUAUCCCAUUUAGAAUUGCCAGGUGUUUAAAACUGGCUUACAAAAUUCUUGAAUAUUUAACAAUCAAUUCUUAUUCACGGCCCAUGGAGACCACUGCCCCCACCGGCGAUCAGCAGCCCUCUCAUUCCAUGGCUUUGUUGGCAUGACACCCUCAUCCAUACACAGGGUAGACAGCCAUUUAGGCUCCCUGUGCUUCGAGGGGCCUAGAAGAAGGCCAGCCAGCUUGCUUCACAGGUUAUCACGAUGUUCACGGAGCUGAAGCAUGUGCAAUGACUGCCCAAGUGAACACCAAACCCAAUCAAGUGACAUGCCAUGACCCAAGUGACCAAGGACUGCCCAUUUCUACUCCAGAACAACGGGGAGAUCUGACUUGAGGGUCUACCACCGGUGGUUGAAAAGUCACAGUCUGGAGCAUCUGGCAGUCCCAGCUGACAAGCCGACCUACCUCUCCCCUCCCUCGGCCCACCAGCCUUCUUACUCAUUCUCACUUCCAAUUUGGUCCUGGUUUGGCACCUGACCAACAGGAGACCAGGUGUUUGAGGUGAUGAACAUGAGGGAGCCAGGAAGCCACUGGGUUAGCUCCCCGGGCAAUGGGACAACACCCAUCCAAGGGCUGGGAGUCCAUCCACAUUAGUCCAUUUGCAGAAGGGGCUUCCUGCUAUUGCAGGUGGCUGAGCCAUUUCUCUGCAUACAGAUUUCUCAUUGUGCAAUCUUCUCGGAGACCCACCUGCUCUUGACACCUCCCCCGUGACUCCAUUUCCCCCUCUUCUGGGCUUCUGGAAUGCCACAAUGGCCCCACCUUGGCCAGGCAGCUACGAUGAGAGAUGUUGACCCAACUGCCAAUCCUCUGGCUCACUGCAUUAGGUGGUAGGGGCUGAAGCCAGCAGCAGGGACUGGCGGGUCUUUGGGUGUGGUCAAGGACCCUGCAGGGCAGGACUGGGGCCAGAGCACCUCUGGGAUUCAGCCAGGUUCUGGAUGAUGAGUGGCACAGGGAGCUGGUGAAGUACAGGCUCUAAGCCAGGGAAAACAGCCCCAGAGCCCAGGUGUGCCACCUUCUUCUUCGUGCAUCCUUAGUCUCUCCUGCUUGGUGAGGCCAGGCCUGGGCCCAAAGUAAGUAUCUCUGGGGGCUGGAGACAAUAAAAAAAUGCCAGAUUUUGUGUGAGGCCCAGACUCUGAUUCAUAGCAGAAGACAGACUGGUGAACAAACCAUCACAAUGCACCAUGACAUGCAUUCAAUCAGACAUGGGUCCCAUGUCCUGGGGACAGAAUAAAGGCUGUAUGGGAGGUGACAUUUAAAUAGGAUCCCUUUAACAGCCCCAGUCUCUCUGUGUAGGCCCACGCCAGGCCUCCGGCCCCAGGAUUCACAGCUCUGCUUUGCGGACAUCUUUAGGGGGCUUCCCAGGGUCACCUCCAACCCCGCUAGUGGGAGGGUCACACACAGCCUACUCCAGCCAGAGCUUUCCAAGUUCUCUGUGCCGGCAUUGCCAACAUGGAGCCAUUCCUCCUUUCAGAAAAAAAGGGAGUGAAAUUCGUGUUCCCCUUUCCAUAUAGAGGGCUGGGUUGAGGCGUGGGAAGGGGAGGGCUGUGAUGCCUGGGGAAGGGGCUCUCAAAGACUUCCUGGAAGGUAAAAGGGACCAGCAGGGCAGGGAAGAGACAAUGUGUGUGGCCCCGUGGAUGGGACCUGCCCAGAGCUGGAGUCGGAUUCCCCGUAGACCAGGAGCCACCCCAUCCUAUGUCCACUCCCAGACCUUUCUGGCCCACCAGCCUACUUCAGGGCCUUAAUGAGAGCCCACAGGCCCGGGCCUAGCCCCGAAAAUGGUUGACUCUGAAUUAGGUGUAAUCAAUGAGGGGAAAUUCCUGGAGCGAUUGAAUUCAUGAAAAAUGUGUAACGUCUCUGUGUGUCUCUUCAGUCAUUUAAAAAUGAUUCCUGUGCCUACUUGACCCUGGGACCCUCCUUUACCUCCCACUCCAGGGCAUCUCAUGGGAUCCAAUACUUGGGUUAGAAUAUCAGAGAAACACCCAUCCAGUGCCUGGCACCUAGUAGGGGCUCAAUCAAUGUAAGCUCCUUUCCUUUGGCCACUCCAAGUAAUCACUUGGGGGUGAGGACAAAGGGGCUUUCCCAGUCUGAAAACGGUUGGGCACCUGGGUCCCUGCUCCCCCUUCCUUCUCUGGCUGAUGACAAACACCAAGAUGUCAUAACAUCCUCAGUGUCCUCAUGUGUUUUUCUGGGACAUGGACUGGGGAGGGUACCCAGGUAGGCCCCAUCUGGCUGUGGCGGGCCUUUCUGGCAACGUGGGCUGGCCUGUGCUGUCUGUGGAUGGAUGCAGAAGGGUGAGGCACUGAUCCUGCUAGUCAGGCAGGAUGCUGGCAAGUGGGAGGGUCAAAAAGGGGCGGGGACUGUAGAACAAAGGAGAACGGGGAGCCCUGGGGGCCCAGACCAGGGAUCAAAAAGGCUCUGUAGAAAGGAGGCCAGAGCACUGCCUGCCUCUGCAUCCAGCAGUCUGUCAGAAAUCCCUCACCUGGUCUCUUCUGCUU